rnacentral:rRNA from 1 species
UACGAAGGUCCCGAGCGUUAUUCGGAAUCACUGGGCGUAAAGGGAGCGUAGGCGGCGUGGAAAGUCAGAUGUGAAAUCCCGGGGCUCAACCCCGGAACUGCAUCCGAUACUACCAUGCUAGAGUAUUGGAGGGGUAACUGGAAUUCUCGGUGUAGCAGUGAAAUGCGUAGAUAUCGAGAGGAACACUCGUGGCGAAAGCGAGUUACUGGACAAUGACUGACGCUGAGGCUCGAAGGCUAGGGGAGCAAAAGGG